AUUUUAGCUACUACUAAUUGAGUGAUAAACUUGAUGCAUCUUGCAGGCUUUCAGAUGGAAGUAGUUAAAACUACUCAUGCUGGGCAUGCAAAAUCUCUUAUAUCUACUUCUGAUUUCAGCACAUGUCCUAAUGGAGUUGUGUGUGUGGGUGGCGAUGGAAUUGUAAACGAGGUGCUCAAUGGUCUUCUGCUCAGAAGUGAUAGAACAGAAGCUGUAUCGAAUCCAGUUGGAAUAAUUCCUGCAGGCUCUGACAACUCACUCGUCUGCACUGUUUUGGGGGUUAGAGAUCCUAUUUCUGCAUCAAUAUUAAUUGUUAAGGUAUGCUUAGUUUCUUCUUUUUCUCAAAGACCCCAUUACUAUCGUUACUAUAGCGUUUUA